ensembl:snoRNA Gm23082 small nucleolar RNA SNORA70
CUACAGAAUAAGACUAUCUCAAAAGAAAAGCAACCCCAUGGAGGCCUGGUGUGCCGUAGUUACAAAGAGCAGCUUCCUUGGUAGUGUGUGCAGUCUGUUACCUUAGGUCUCCUAAGGGACCUUGGACACAAUU